UACAGAGGUCCCAAGCGUUGUUCGGAUUCAUUGGGCGUAAAGGGUGCGUAGGCGGCGCGGUAAGUCGGGGGUGAAAUCUCGGGGCUUAACUCCGAAACUGCAUUCGAUACUGCCGUGCUUGAGGACUGGAGAGGAGACUGGAAUUUACGGUGUAGAGGUGAAAUUCGUAGAUAUCGGGAGGAACACCAGUGGCGAAGGCGGCGACCUGGGCCAAUACUGACGCUGAGGUGCGAAAGCGUGGGGAGCAAACCGG
rnacentral:rRNA from 1 species